rnacentral:lncRNA from 1 species
GAAGGUUUAUCUAUGUUAAGGUGCAUAGUGGAAGUCCAGCUCAAUGUUAUAAUCUGUUGCAUUUCCCUUUAAGUAUAAGAUGUACUUAUUGUUUUGAUGCCGAGUGUUAGUGAAAGUCUAACUCAAUAUCAUAAUCUGUUGCAUUUCUCUUUAAGUAUAAGGUAUACUUAUUGUUUCGGUGCAGAUUGAUGAUAGUAAUAAUUUAUGGUUUUGUUGUCC